ensembl:ribozyme RNase_MRP RNase MRP
GGAUGUUCUGAAGACCUGCUCGCUAGGCCACGCACGGAGGACGCCCGUUCCUCAUGGGCCCCGCGCCCGCCUAGGGGAAAGUCCCCGGACCGCCGGCAGAGAGUGCCGGGCGCUACCGCGCCCCCGCCCGCCGCCGCCGCCUCACGCUAUUCUCCGCCGAGACGCCCGCGGGCCGAGCGGGUGAGCGCGGGGCGGGCUCUCGUCACGGCCACAGACACGCAGGUAGCGCGCCAGGCGCGCCAACAGAACGGGGCUCACUCUCAGGCCAUC